GUUGAACCUGUAAUGGAGAAGAGUAGGUCAGACUGCAUGUAAAGAGAGGAACCGCCUAGGCUGAAAGCGGCUCUGCAUUGCAUCUUUCUCGAAACAACACUCCGGAGGUUUCCUGCUGAACGCUGUGCUUUUUUGCAAACGUCAUUAGGCAGAGAACGUGAACCUGCGUUAAAGGAUUGAGCGGGAACAUUUCAUAUGUUCCAACUAGGGUGGCACCACGGGUAUAACUCUCGUCCCUACU
rnacentral:ncRNA from 1 species